rnacentral:rRNA from 1 species
AACGUAGGUGACAAGCGUUAUCCGGAUUUACUGGGCGUAAAGCGCGUUCAGGCGGUUUGGCAAGUCGGGCAUGAAAUCUCCUGGCUCAACCAGGAGAGGCUGUCCGAUACUUCCAGACUUGAGGGCAGUAGAGGGUGGUGGAAUUCCGGGUGUAGUGGUGAAAUGCGCAGAUAUCAGGAGGAACACCGAUGGCGAAGGCAGGUCUCUGGGCCACUACUGACGCUGAGAAGCGAAAGCAUGGGGAGCGAACAGG